CCUACGGGGCGCAGCAGUGGGGAAUAUUGCGCAAUGGGCGAAAGCCUGACGCAGCGACGCCGCGUGAGGGAUGAAGGUCUUCGGAUCGUAAACCUCUGUCAGCAGGGAAGAACGGUCACUGUGCUAAUCAGCAGUGAAUUGACGGUACCUGCAAAGGAAGCACCGGCUAACUCCGUGCCAGCAGCCGCGGUAAUACGUAGGGGCGAGCGUUAUCCGGAUUCACUGGGGGUAAAGGGAGCGUAGACGGCCCUGCAAGCCAUGGGUGAAAGCCCGUGGCCCAACCCCGGGACUGCCCUUGGAACUGC
rnacentral:rRNA from 1 species